rnacentral:ncRNA from 1 species
CUCACCUACCGAAUGGAGUAGCCCUGAAAAUGGAUGGCGCUAAAACGAGUUACCGAUACCAGGCCAUAGAAAGAACACAAAGAACGAGAGUUGCGCCCUUUUUUUUUCUCGAAUCUUUCUAUGAGUAGAAAAUCGUGGGGUUUGUGUCGAAGCAAUAUGCGUGAGCUAUUGUGGAACAUAUCCCUAGUGCAGAUCUUGGUGGAAGUAGCAAUAAUUCAAAUGAGAACUUUGAAGACUGAAGUGGAGAAGGGUUUCUUGACAACUUUGAUUGUACAAGAGUUAGCCGCUCCUAAGGGAAAGCUGAAAUGCAUUUAAAUGGGGACUUGGUGCUUCAAGCAAUUGUUGCAUCUUUUCUCUGUCCCAAAAGGGAAACAGGUUAAUAUUCCUGUGCCUAGGUCAGUGUUAUGUAUAUGAUGGUAACAUAAUUUGGAGUGAACUUCUUAACGUAGGUUUCCCGUCCGAGAUGCGUUAUCUUUGCAUAUUAACUCUCGAAAUCGACCUUGGAAUCAAUUUAAUUGGAGAAGAGGUUUAUUCAAUUGCAAUUCAGAACGUAUUUAAGUGGGAAUUAUUUAUAAUUCUCAUUUAAAAAAAUUCUGUUUUGUAGUAAUAGUAAUUCAAUAUUUUGAAUUAUUCGGA